UACAGGGGGGGGCAAGCGUUGUUCGGAAUUACUGGGCGUAAAGGGCUCGUAGGCGGCCAACUAAGUCCGACGUGAAAUCCCAAAGCUUAACUUUGGAACUGCGUCGGAUACUGGAUGGCUUGAAUUCGGGAGAGGGAUGCAGAAUUCCAGGUGUAGCGGUGAAAUGCGUAGAUAUCUGGAGGAAUACCGGUGGCGAAGGCGGCAUCCUGGACCGACAUUGACGCUGAGGAGCGAAAGCCAGGGGAGCAAACGGG
rnacentral:rRNA from 1 species